GCAGUAGCUCAGUGGUAAGAGGUUCUGAUUUGCAUACAGAAGGUCCCAGGUUCAAUCCCCAGCAUCUCCC